rnacentral:rRNA from 1 species
CGCUGGCGGCAGGCCUAAGUCAUGCAAGUUGAACGGCUGUAGCAAUACAGCAGUAGCGGACGGGUGAGUAAUGUAUGGGAACGUAUCUUCUAGUGGGGAAUAUUCUUUGGAAACGAAGAGCAAUACCGCAUGAGUCCUACGGGAGAAAGUCGCAAGACGCUAGAUGAGCGGCCCAUAUUGGAUUAGCUAGUUGGUUAGGUAAUGGCUGACCAAGGCAACGAUCCAUAGCUGGUCUAAGAGGACGAUCAGCCACAUUGGGACUGAGACACGGCCCAGACUCCUACGGGAGGCAGCAGUCAGGAAUAUUGGACAAUGGGGGCAACCCUGAUCCCAGCCAUGCCGCGUGAGUGUUAAGGUCUUCGGAUUGUAAAGCUCUUUUGUGUGGGAAAAUGAUGAUGGUACCACAAGAAUAAGCACCGGCUAACUUCGUGCCAGCCGCCGC